GGACUAUCAUGUCGGUCGUGCCUCGGUACGUACUGGUAUUGUUGGUUUCUCCCUUCUGACGAACCAUGAUGUCAUUUAUUUGGUGUUGUUGGGGAAUCAGGACUGUUACUUUGAAAAAAUUAGAGUGUUUAAAGCAGGCAUUAGCUUGAAUACAUUAGCAUGGAAUAACGGAAUAGGACGUUUGAUUCUAUUUUGUUGGUUUCUAGGAUCGACGUA
rnacentral:rRNA from 1 species